UAAAACGUAGGGGGCGAGCGUUAUCCGGAAUCACUGGGCGUAAAGGGCGUCUAGGCGGCCGCUUUAGUCGUGCGUGAAAGCUCCCGGCUCAACUGGGAGAGGGCGCACGAUACUGGGCGGCUCGAGACUCAGAGGGGGGUGUGGAAUUCCCGGUGGAGUGGUGAAAUGCGUUGAGAUCGGGAGGAACACCAGUGGCGAAGGCGGCACCCUGGCUGAGGUCUGACGCUGAAGCGCGACAGCGUGGGGAGCAAACGGGAUUAGAUACCCCGGUAGUCCACGCCGUAAACGAUGACAACUAGGUGUCGGGUGUCCAAGGACGCUCGGUACCGCAGCCAACGCGAUAAGUUGUCCGCCUGGGGAGUACGGCCGCAAGGCUA
rnacentral:rRNA from 1 species